rnacentral:rRNA from 1 species
UACGUAGGGCGCAAGCGUUGUCCGGAAUUAUUGGGCGUAAAGAGCUCGUAGGCGGCUUGUCACGUCGGUUGUGAAAGCCCGGGGCUUAACCCCGGGUCUGCAGUCGAUACGGGCAGGCUAGAGUGUGGUAGGGGAGAUCGGAAUUCCUGGUGUAGCGGUGAAAUGCGCAGAUAUCAGGAGGAACACCGGUGGCGAAGGCGGGUCUCUGGGCAGUAACUGACGCUGAGGAGCGAAAGCGUGGGGAGCGAACAGG